CCUACGGGGUGCAGCAGUGAGGAAUAUUGGUCAAUGGCCGGAAGGCUGAACCAGCCAUGCCGCGUGACGGUCAGUGCCCUAUGGGCGUUAAACUUCUUUUGUGCGGGAGCAAUAAUGGUCACGUGUGGCCAGACGAGAGUACCGUACGAAUAAGCAUCGGCUAACUCCGUGCCAGCAGCCGCGGUAAUACGGGGGAUGCAAGCGUUAUCCGGAUUUAUUGGGUUUAAAGGGUGCGUAGGCUGUGAGGUAAGUCAGCGGUGAAAUGCCCCCGCUCAACGGGGUGAAGUGCGAUUGAUACUGCCUGGCUGGAAUGCGGAUGCGGUGGGAGGAAUGUGUGGUGUAGCGGUGAAAUGCAUAGAUAUCACACAGAACACCGAUUGCGAAGGCAUCUCACGAAUCCGCGAUUGACGCUGAUGCACGAAAGCGUGGGUAUCAAACAGGAUUAGAUACCCCAGUAGUC
rnacentral:rRNA from 1 species